rnacentral:rRNA from 1 species
UACGUAGGGUGCAAGCGUUGUCCGGAAUUAUUGGGCGUAAAGAGCUUGUAGGCGGUUUGUCGCGUCUGCUGUGAAAUUUCGGGGCUCAACCCCGAACUUGCAGUGGGUACGGGCAGACUAGAGUGUGGUAGGGGAGACUGGAAUUCCUGGUGUAGCGGUGAAAUGCGCAGAUAUCAGGAGGAACACCGAUGGCGAAGGCAGCUCGCUGGGACGGUACUGACGCUGAGGAGCGAAAGCGUGGGGAGCGAACAGG